GGGUCAGUAGGUUGGUCGUGCCACCGGUACGUACUGGUCUCACUGAUUCCUCCUCCCUGAAGAACCGUAAUACCAUUAAUUUGGUGUUGCGGGGAAACAGGACUGUUACUUUGAAAAAAUUAGAGUGUUUAAAGCAAGCUAACGCUUGAAUACAUUAGCAUGGAAUAAUGAAAUAGGACGAUCGAUCCUAUUUUGUUGGUUUCUAGGAUUGACGUA
rnacentral:rRNA from 1 species